rnacentral:rRNA from 1 species
AGUGAACGCUGGCGGCAGGCCUAACACAUGCAAGUCGAGCGGCAGAACGGUGCUAGCUCGUUCUUUCGGCUGGCGACUGGCGGGUGAGUCCGAGGUAUAUCGCUGUCUACUUUUUCGAGGGGGAGAACGUGGGGACUCAUACCCCAAUACCGCUUAUGACGAAAGGGUGGAAUCAUGGGAUCUUCGGACCUUUGGUGAUUCUAUGACCCGAUGUCGGAUUAGCUAGUUGAAGGGGUAAAGGCCCACCAAGGCGACGAUCCGUAACGGGUCUGAGAGGAUGAUCAGCCACACUGGAACUGAGACACGGUCCAGACUCCUACGGGAGGCAGCAGUGGGGAAUAUUGGACAAUGGGCGAAAGCCUGAUCCAGCCAUGCCGCGUGUGUGAAGAAGGUCUUCGGAUUGUAAAGCCCUUUUAUUGGGGAAGAAAAGCAGUAAGUUAAUACCUUGCUGUUUUGACGGUACCCAAAGAAUAAGCACCGGCUAACUUCGUG